GCCAGCAUAGCUCAGGGGUAGAGCAGCACUCUCGUAAAGUGCAGGUCGUCAGUUCGAAUCUGACUGCUGGCU
rnacentral:tRNA from 1 species